UACGUAGGGUGCAGGCGUUAAUCGGAAUUACUGGGCGUAAAGCGUGCGCAGGCGGUUUCUUAAGUCAGAUGUGAAAGCCCCGGGCUUAACCGGGGAACUGCGUCUGAUACUGGAUGGCUUGAGUUCGGGAGAGGGAUGUGGAAUUCCAGGUGUAGCGGUGAAAUGCGUAGAUAUCUGGAGGAACACCGGUGGCGAAGGCGGCAUCCUGGACCGACACUGACGCUGAUGAGCGAAAGCCGGGGGAGCAAACGGG
rnacentral:rRNA from 1 species